AACGUAGGGGGCGAGCGUUGUCCGGAAUUACUGGGCGUAAAGGGCGUGUAGGUGGUCUGUGAAGUCGAAAGUGAAAACCUGGGGCUCAACCCCGGGCGUGCUUUCGAAACCAGCAGACUUGAGGACAGGAGAGGGAAGCGGAAUUCCCAGUGUAGCGGUGAAAUGCGUAGAUAUUGGGAGGAACACCAGUGGCGAAAGCGGCUUUCUGGCCUGUAACUGACACUGAGGCGCGAAAGCGUGGGGAGCGAACAGG
rnacentral:rRNA from 1 species